rnacentral:rRNA from 1 species
CACGGUGGAUGCCUUGGCAGUCAGAGGCGAUGAAAGACGUGAUAGCCUGCGAAAAGCUCCGGGGAGGCGGCAAAUAUCCUUUGAUCCGGAGAUUUCUGAAUGGGGGAACCCACCUACUUUAAGGUAGGUAUUGCAACAUGAAUACAUAGUGUUGCAAGGCGAACGAGGGGAAGUGAAACAUCUCAGUACCCUUAGGAAAAGAAAUCAAUUGAGAUUCCCUCAGUAGCGGCGAGCGAACGGGGAUCAGCCCAUUAAGUUAUGUGUGUUUUAGUGGAACGCUCUGGGAAGUGCGAACGUAGAGGGUGAUAUUCCCGUACACGAAAGGGCACACAUAAUGAUGACGAGUAGGGCGGGACACGUGAUAUCCUGUCUGAAUAUGGGGGGACCAUCCUCCAAGGCUAAAUACUACUGACUGACCGAUAGUGAACCAGUACCGUGAGGGAAAGGCGAAAAGAAACCCUGUGAGGGGAGUGAAAUAGAUCCUGAAACCGCAUGCAUACAAGCAGUGGGAGCACCUUCGUGGUGUGACUGCGUACCUUUUGUAUAAUGGGUCAGCGACUUAUAUUCAGUAGCAAGGUUAACCG